rnacentral:rRNA from 1 species
GCCAGACUCCUACGGGAGGCAGCAGUGGGGGAUAUUGCACAAUGGGGGGAACCCUGAUGCAGCGACGCCGCGUGGGUGAAGGAGCGUUUCGGCGCGUAAAGCCCUAUCGGCAGGGAAGAAGGAGGACGGUACCUGACUAAGAAGCCCCGGCUAACUACGUGCCAGCAGCCGCGGUAAUACGUAGGGGGCAAGCGUUAUCCGGAUUUACUGGGUGUAAAGGGGGCGCAGACGGCAGCGCAAGCCAGGAGUGAAAGCCCGGGGCCCAACCCCGGGACUGCUCUUGGAACUGCGCGGCUGGAGUGCAGGAGGGGCAGGCGGAAUUCCUAGUGUAGCGGUGAAAUGCGUAGAUAUUAGGAGGAACACCGGGGGCGAAGGCGGCCUGCUGGACUGUAACUGACGUUGAGGCUCGAAAGCGUGGGGAGCAAACAGGAUUAGAUACCCUAGUAA